AGGCCUUGCGCUCUUUGAGCGGCCGAUAUCAGAUUAGCUAGUUGGUGAGGUAAAGGCUCACCAAGGCGACGAUCUGUAGCGGGUCUGAGAGGAUGAUCCGCCACACUGGAACUGAGACACGGUCCAGACUCCUACGGGAGGCAGCAGUGGGGAAUUUUGGACAAUGGGGGCAACCCUGAUCCAGCCAUGCCGCGUGAGUGAAGAAGGCCUUCGGGUUGUAAAGCUCUUUCGGCCGGGAAGAAAUCGCAUGGGCCAAUACCCUGUGCGGAUGACGGUACCGGCAUAAGGAGCACCGGCUAACUACGUGCCAGCAGCCGCGGUAAUACGUAGGGUGCGAGCGUUAAUCGGAAUUACUGGGCUAAAGCGUGCGCAGGCGGUUUUGUAAGACAGGCGUGAAAUCCCCGGGCUCAACCUGGGAACUGCGUUUGUGACUGCAAGGCUAGAGUACGGCAGAGGGGGGUGGAAUUCCACGUGUAGCAGUGAAAUGCGUAGAGAUGUGGAGGAACACCAAUGGCGAAGGCAGCCCCCUGGGCCGAUACUGACGCUCAUGCACGAAAGCGUGGGUAGCAAACAGGAUUAGAUACCCUGGUAGUCCACGCCCUAAACGAUGUCAACUAGGUGUUGGGUGGGUAAAACCAUUUAGUACCGGAGCUAACGCGUGAAGUUGACCGCCUGGGGAGUACGGCCGCAAGGUUAAAACUCAAAGGAAUUGACGGGGACCCGCACAAGCGGUGGAUGAUGUGGAUUAAUUCGAUGCAACGCGAAAAACCUUACCUACCCUUGACAUGUCCAGAAGCCUGAAGAGAUUUGGGUGUGCCCGAAAGGGAACUGGAACACAGGUGCUGCAUGGCUGUCGUCAGCUCGUGUCGUGAGAUGUUGGGUUAAGUCCCGCAACGAGCGCAACCCUUGUCGUUAAUUGCCAUCAUUCAGUUGGGCACUUUAACGAGACUGCCGGUGACAAACCGGAGGAAGGUGGGGAUGACGUCAAGCCCUCAUGGCCCUUAUGGGUAGGGCUUCACACGUCAUACAAUGGUCGGUACAAAGGGUUGCCAAGCCGCGAGGUGGAGCCAAUCCCAGAAAGCCGAUCGUAGUCCGGAUCGUAGGCUGCAACUCGCCUGCGUGAAGUCGGAAUCGCUAGUAAUCGUGGAUCAGCAUGUCACGGUGAAUACGUUCCCGGGUCUUGUACACACCGCCCGUCACACCAUGGGAGCGGGUUCCGCCAGAAGUAGGUAGCCUAACCGCAAGGGGGGCGCUUACCACGGCGGGGUUCGUGACUGGGGUGAAGUCGAAACAAGGUA
rnacentral:rRNA from 1 species